GGAACACAGAAUGGAACUGCCUUCCCUUUACCUCAUCCCCUUCAUUUCCCACCCUCCCUUUCCUUCCCCCAAAAUAAGUGAAUAAAUGAAAGAAAAAUACUCAACAUCACUUCCUAUAAAAAAGCCAAGAGAUCAUGAGUCAACUCCAGCCACCUUAGCUUCCUUGCUGUUCCUUGACUAGACCCACCUGGGACCUUGGCACCGCUGUUCCCUCUGCUUGGAGUGCUCUGUUCCAGGACACUCACACGGCUGACUGCUUCCCUUCUUCAUGUCUUUGUCCAGACAUUCCCUUUUCAAACUGGCUACUCUGGACCACGCCAGUCAAAUUUGCAGCCCUCCAUUUUAUCUGCGGUUACUCUGCUCUAUUUUUUUUCCAUAGCACUUAACUUUUAACAUCACAGAUAACAGACUUCCUUAUUGAAUGUACUGCUUCCCUCUCUCCCUGGUAGAAUGUAAGCUCCAUGAGGCAGGGAUAUUUGUCUGUCCCAUUUACUACUGUACCCCCAGCACCUAAAACAGUGCCUAGUAGAUAGACACUCAUUAAAUUGUUUUAAAUGAAAGAAUGCCAGAGUUACUUGGUGUGUGUAAUGUGGGACUUGACUUCAGAGAUCUAUCUGGAAAGAGACUUUUCAGGGAGACUGCAGAGAUCUCCUGGCAAGAAAAUGGAAAAUAGUAGGACAGAAAAACAGUGGAACUGAGAAAAUGAAGAACAGGAAUGAGGAAGAGGAAACAGAAGCAGACGAGGCAAGAGGGAAGAACUGUCCAUCAGCAAAGAAGUGAGAGUAGAUCUGAAAAGAUGUAGAGACUUCUGAGUGGCCUGUGGAUUCCUGGAGGUCAGGAAUUGGAUAUUCAUCAAAGUCUUUAUCUGGACACUCCUGGCCUUUAUGAGUAGGCCCAGAAGUGAUGCUUUUUAACAAUCUAUAAUUCAGAGACCCCAUGCCCCGCUGGAGCAGCAGCAGAUUUCCUUAAAGUAGCAGCUGGUUCCAAUGAACCAACAGAGAGCAACUGCAGCAAGUUUCUGUUGCCUUUCCAAAACCGUGGUGAAUCAUUGCAUCAUUCAAGAACAUUGAUCUUUAGCAAUGUAGAUUUCCAGUUUUCAAAAAACUUUAAAGAUAAAAUUUGACAUAAAAGAGUAGCACUCAUCAUGAUAACAGUGAACUUGCUUAAAUUGUGUUGCACUUCAGCUUACCCUUGGACCCUCCGAAGGAUUUCACCCAAUCCCCAUUCAUCCAGAAGAGACUUGAGCCCUUCACAAGGUCCCAGAUCACUGCUGUGCCCCAUCUUACCUGCCCAGCAGACUGAACACAGCCCUGCUGACAACAGUGAAUAAUCAGAUUCAUCUCAGCUGUGAAAGAGAAGAGUCCAUGUUCACCUAAGAAGCCAUGGUGGUCUCGUCUGUCAUCCCAUCCAUGAGGAUGCUAGUUUCCAAUUUCACACAUCAAAGGUAUCAGGUGGUUGAGGCUGGAGGCUAAGUGGAAAAGGCUUCCAGGUAAGAAGACAGAACCUACAGUAGAUGGCUCUACUUUGGAAGGGCUUUGAGGAAAAUGGCCAGUGUCUCAAGAAGUCUGACCUCUCGAUCUCCUUGACCCCCUAAGAAGGAGAGAAGACAUGGAACACUCUUCCUCCUUUUGGCUGAGGGAUGGAGCCUGGAGUCUUUGCUGGACAGAAGGGAUAUCUCCCUGCAGGCCACCUUAUGGCCCAGGUCCCCCUGGCUGAACCCGAAGAAUUCCAAGUGGGUAUAAAAUUCCCCUUUGCCCAGAAGUACCAGGUUUGCAGUGCACCCUCAUUAAAGUGUGCUCCUGCAGCCAGACUGUCAGUUUCAAAAGAAAACUCCUUUUAAUUUUAACUAGAGCCCUGGGCAUCAGAAACAGUAGAGAAAGGGGAUUCAUUUAUGGGUUUCUAUGGUGGAUUGUGGGUUUUAUUUGCUCCUUUACACCACUUUCCAGUCUGUCAUUUUGGUAAGGUUAACCCCAGUGUAAAAUGUUCCCGUAAUUAUGCUCGGAAACACUCCCAGCCUGCCGCAUGCCAAUAAAUGCCUGGAAUAACUGUCAGGCUAAAUGAA
ensembl:lncRNA